GACGAACGCUGGCGGCGUGCUUAACACAUGCAAGUCGAACGGAAGGGCCCUGCUUUUGUGGGGUGCUCGAGUGGCGAACGGGUGAGUAACACGUGAGUAACCUGCCCUUGACUUUGGGAUAACUUCAGGAAACUGGGGCUAAUACCGGAUAGGAGCUCCUGCUGCAUGGUGGGGGUUGGAAAGUUUCGGCGGUUGGGGAUGGACUCGCGGCUUAUCAGCUUGUUGGUGGGGUAGUGGCUUACCAAGGCUUUGACGGGUAGCCGGCCUGAGAGGGUGACCGGCCACAUUGGGACUGAGAUACGGCCCAGACUCCUACGGGAGGCAGCAGUGGGGAAUAUUGCACAAUGGGCGGAAGCCUGAUGCAGCAACGCCGCGUGCGGGAUGACGGCCUUCGGGUUGUAGACCGCUUUCGCCUGUGACGAAGCGUGAGUGACGGUAAUGGGUAAAGAAGCACCGGCUAACUACGUG
rnacentral:rRNA from 1 species